AAUUUGGGGGGGUUCCUUGGUAGGUCCCCGAGGGGGGGGCCCCGGGGGGGUAAACGGGCACCCCCAUUUGGGGGGCCGGGGAAAUCCGGAUUAACCCCCCCUGGCAUUUUCCGGCAUCGGGAGGUAGUCAAUUUUUGGGUGGAAUGGCUCGACAUUAGCUAGUGGUGGGGUAACGCCCCACCAAGGCGACGAUGCUAGGGGAUUGAGAGGGAAUCCCCCACAUGGUACUGAGACACGGACCAGAUUCCUACGGGAGGCAGCAGUAAGGAAUAUGGUCAAUGGGGGCAACCCUGAACCAGCCAUGCCGCGUGCAGGACGACUGCCUAUGGGUUGUAAACUGCUUUUGUUAGGGAAUAAACCCCGCUACGUGUAGCGGGCUGAAUGUACCUAAAGAAUAAGGAUCGGCUAACUCCGUGCCAGCAGCCGCGGUAAUACGGAGGAUCCGAGCGUUAUCCGGAUCUAUUGGGUUUAAAGGGUGCGUAGGCGGCACUUUAAGUCAGGGGUGAAAGACGGCAGCUCAACUGUCGCAGUGCCCUUGAUACUGAAGUGCUUGAAUGCGGUUGAAGACGGCGGAAUGAGACAAGUAGCGGUGAAAUGCAUAGAUAUGUCUCAGAACACCGAUUGCGAAGGCAGCUGUCUAAGCCGUUAUUGACGCUGAUGCACGAAAGCGUGGGGAUCGAACAGGAUUAGAUACCCUGGUAGUCCACGCCCUAAACGAUGAUGACUCGAUGUUUGCGAUAUACCGUAAGCGUCCAAGCGAAAGCGUUAAGUCAUCCACCUGGGGAGUACGCCCGCAAGGGUGAAACUCAAAGGAAUUGACGGGGGCCCGCACAAGCGGAGGAGCAUGUGGUUUAAUUCGAUGAUACGCGAGGAACCUUACCCGGGCUUGAAAGUUACUGAAGGGCGCAGAGACGCGCCCGUCCUUCGGGACAGGAAACUAGGUGCUGCAUGGCUGUCGUCAGCUCGUGCCGUGAGGUGUUGGGUUAAGUCCCGCAACGAGCGCAACCCCUAUGUUUAGUUGCCAGCACGUCAAGGUGGGGACUCUAAACAGACUGCCUGCGCAAGCAGAGAGGAAGGCGGGGACGACGUCAAGUCAUCAUGGCCCUUACGUCCGGGGCUACACACGUGCUACAAUGGAUGGUACAGCGGGCAGCUACACAGCAAUGUGGUGCCAAUCUCGAAAAGCCAUUCACAGUUCGGAUCGGGGUCUGCAACUCGACCCCGUGAAGUUGGAUUCGCUAGUAAUCGCGUAUCAGCAAUGACGCGGUGAAUACGUUCCCGGGCCUUGUACACACCGCCCGUCAAGCCAUGAAAGCUGGGGGUACCUAAAGCAUGUAACCGCAAGGAGCGUGG
rnacentral:rRNA from 1 species